rnacentral:rRNA from 1 species
CAGUCGCCGCGGUAAUACGUAGGGUGCAAGCGUUAAUCGGAAUUACUGGGCGUAAAGCGUACGCAGGCGGUUAUAUAAGUCAGAUGUGAAAUCCCCGGGCUCAACCUGGGAACUGCAUUUGAGACUGUAUGGCUAGAGUGUGUCAGAGGGGGGUAGAAUUCCACGUGUAGCAGUGAAAUGCGUAGAUAUGUGGAGGAAUACCGAUGGCGAAGGCAGCCCCCUGGGAUAACACUGACGCUCAUGCACGAAAGCGUGGGGAGCAAACAGGAUUAGAUACCCCAGUAGUCCCUGUCUCUUAUAC